rnacentral:lncRNA from 1 species
GGAAAUGCUCCGGGAACACCUUCUCCUCGUGCUGCUGAGUUUAGCAUUGUUGCACGGCCCAAAUUUUCAGUGAGGCAUGGGGUUUUGCCAGUGGAUAAGCUUCUCAACUGAUGGCGCUUCAUUUUGGCCCUGGUAUUUUAUCAUACGGUUCUGGGAGGCGGUGGGGUUACGGAAUCAAGACAAGGGUGGAAGGCCAGGGAGAGAUGGGCUAUGCACAGACAAUUACAGUGGGCUCAAAACCCCAGAACAUUUACCUUUUCCAACUGAAUGACUCUAUAAAAUGGACACCUGCCAUGUUCCUAG